GAAGACGUUCUUUGGCGGAGACGGAUUGGCGGCAGCGAGAAGGCAGUGCAGGUGUGCGAAUUACUUUAAGGCUUUGAAAAACCUGGCAAUGAAUUAUUCUGGCUGAGUUCUGUCGCUUAUCAAGCAAAAAUCUGAGUUGCAAUCAGAGUUCUUCAAAGAUCUCGACAAAUACACUCCUCGCUUCCUGGAGAAGUUCAAGACCCAGAGGGGGAAAGUGUCGGACAGAAACUUGAAUAUCUGCAACAAGUCAUACCUGGGAGUACAGAUGUGACUGGGAGGUGAACAGCAGUCCUCCGUGGCUCUCCCGUCAUCCUUGGAGAUAACAACGCAGACUUCUUCAAGAAUUUGAGGUUCAGGAGCAGCCAAUAUGAUGCAGGUGUGACGGCUGAAGAUGGUGUGAGUUUAGGAUGGCGUGAAGCUUCGACUUGACCCCAUGGAAACACAGCAGAUGCCACCAAAGGGUCCUGAUCGGGGACUCUGAUGACCUUCUGGACGUGUCCCACACCUCCAUUGGGACCCUGACGGUGCUGAAGACAUCGUGGCCUCCUCACUCGCUGGACCUGGAGUCUACAACUACUGCCAUCGUUUUGGGAGGAACAGUCGUGAUGGGUGACCGUGAUAAUCUUCCCCGUGCCGUGUGGCUACUCUUCGGACUUAUUUACCCCUGAAUUUGGAGUAUCCUCAACGAGUGAGGAACACCUUCUGAAUUUAUUCAUAGAGUGCUUCUCACUUGGACCAAAAACCCUAAAAUACAAUCACUCAAAAAUCUACUGAUGCCGUAAGGGACUGUGUUCAUGAUGUGCAGUCAGGCCCGAGAACUUCACCCUUCUAUCUCCAAUAGAACUCUUUUAUAGAAAAUGUCUGUUUUUGUUUUUCUGUAGUGAAAUUUAGCAAAUGCCGAAAACGCUGUGUUCAUCAUAUUUCUGCGUUACAAAACCUCAUCUGGCAACAUGAUCAGUGUUUUAAGCACGUUGUUUGAGUUUUAAAACAUGUGUUUUUCUUCUAAAUAAACGUUGUCUUCCAUUGUAA